rnacentral:rRNA from 1 species
GAUGAACGCUAGCUACAGGCUUAACACAUGCAAGUCGAGGGGAAACGACAUUGAAGCUUGCUUCGAUGGUCGUCGACCGGCGCACGGGUGAGUAACGCGUAUCCAACCUGCCUCUGACCAAGGGAUAACCCGUCGAAAGUCGGCCUAAUACCUUAUGCAGUCGUCGGAAGUCAUCUGAUGACGACGAAAGAUUUCAUCGGUGAGAGAUGGGGAUGCGUCUGAUUAGCUUGUUGGCGGGGUAACGGCCCACCAAGGCAACGAUCAGUAGGGGUUCUGAGAGGAAGGUCCCCCACAUUGGAACUGAGACAUGGUCCAAACUCCUACGGGAGGCAGCAGUGAGGAAUAUUGGUCAAUGGGCGAGAGCCUGAACCAGCCAAGUAGCGUGCAGGAUGACGGCCCUAUGGGUUGUAAACUGCUUUUAUGCGGGGAUAAAGUGAGGGACGUGUCCUUCAUUGCAGGUACCGCAUGAAUAAGGACCGGCUAAUUCCGUG